AACAGAAACUCAUCAAAGGCCUACGUCAUGUUAGUACAAUAUGAGCCAAAAUCAUUUUGCCAAUGAUGUUUCUGAUGCAAGAAAUAUUCGAGUGAAAGUUGAAUGUUGUUGUAAGUGAUGAUUUCACUCCUCAACUUCUGCAUUGAGUCUUGUAAGUGCUUGGGAUUUUAACACGACUUCAAAAAAAUAUAUUGGGGGGCCUCAUAUUUCUGGUUGGAAAUGUUGAUAAAUAUAGGUGCGAUCUUGUUUUAUAGCGGUUUUGCAUAUGUGUUGAUUACUGGGGUAGGUCAGGGAGGGAGGCUCACAUAAAAGGCAUCAUUGCUCAAACCACAAGAAGCUAUAAGCCACAUACCACAUCAUUUAAAACACCUUUUCUUCAAUGGAGCCUAAUGCCUCCAAUAUGGAUUCCCAUUGCUUAGAAAUGACCAUGGAAAUACACCAAGUUGUUCCACCACCCCACAAGAGCACCCUACAGAAGCUCAAGGCCAGACUCAAGGAAACUUUUUUCCCUGAUGAUCCGCUUCGCCAAUUCAAAGGUCAACCACUUCAGAAAAAACUAGUCCUUGCUGCUCAAUAUGUGUUUCCUAUUCUUCAAUGGGGUCCUAAAUACAGCCUCAAACUCUUUAAAUCUGACCUUAUUGCUGGCCUCACUAUUGCUAGCUUAGCCAUCCCACAGGGAAUCAGUUAUGCUAAACUUGCAAAUCUUCCUCCAAUUGUAGGACUUUAUUCUAGUUUUGUUCCCCCACUUGUUUAUGCUGUUCUUGGAAGCUCAAGGGACCUUGCUGUAGGACCUGUUUCUAUUGCUUCUCUUGUGUUGGGAUCCAUGCUGAGAGAGGAAGUGUCUCCCACAACAGACCCAGUUUUGUUUCUUCAGCUAGCUUUUACUUCAACAUUAUUUGCUGGUCUCUUUCAAGCUUCUCUUGGAAUUCUUAGGCUAGGAUUUAUCAUUGAUUUUUUAUCUAAGGCCAUCCUGAUUGGGUUCAUGGCUGGAGCAGCUAUAAUUGUUUCUCUUCAACAGCUCAAGAGCUUGCUUGGAAUCACACAUUUCACAAAUCAAAUGACACUGGUUCCUGUCAUGAGUUCUGUUUUUCACAAUACACAUGAGUGGUCAUGGCAAACAAUAUUGAUGGGCAUUUGCUUCUUGGUGCUACUACUAUUAGCAAGACACGUCAGUAUAAGGAAACCAAAGCUAUUUUGGGUCUCAGCUGGAGCUCCUCUCGUGUCUGUCAUCAUCUCUACUCUUCUUGUUUUUGCAAUUAAGGCUCAAAAUCAUGGCAUCAGUGUAAUUGGAAAAUUGCAACAAGGUAUAAAUCCUCCUUCGUGGGAUAUGUUGAGCUUGCAUGGAAAUCACCUAUGCCUAGUCAUGAAAACUGGCCUUAUCACUGGCAUUUUGUCCCUCACUGAAGGUAUUGCAGUAGGAAGGACUUUUGCAUCUCUCAGAAACUACAAAGUUGAUGGAAAUAAGGAAAUGAUGGCAAUUGGGUUUAUGAAUGUGGUUGGCUCCUUCACUUCCUGCUACAUUACCACAGGUGCUUUUUCCCGCUCAGCUGUUAAUAACAACGCAGGUGCAAAAACAGCUGCGUCAAAUAUUGUGAUGUCUGUGACAGUGAUGGUGACACUCCUUUUUCUUAUGCCAUUGUUUCAAUACACGCCUAAUGUUGUAUUGGGUGCAAUCAUAGUCACUGCAGUAAUUGGCCUCAUUGAUAUCCCUGCUGCUUGUAGCAUUUGGAGGAUAGACAAAUAUGAUUUCCUUGUGAUGUUGACUGCUUUCUUGGGUGUUGUUUUUAUCUCUGUCCAGGAAGGUCUUGCUCUUGCAGUCGGGUUAUCAAUAUUUAAGAUACUCCUGCAAAUUACAAGGCCUAAAACAGUAAUGUUGGGGAAGAUACCAGGGACAGACAUAUAUAGAAAUCUUCAUCAAUAUAAGGAUGCCACAAGAAUACCUAGUUUUCUUAUUUUAAGCAUUGAGGCUCCCAUCAAUUUUGCUAACAUCACAUAUCUCAACGAGAGAACAUUAAGAUGGAUUGAAGAAGAAGAAGAAGACAACAUAAAGGAACACUCGAGCCUUCAAUUUUUAAUUUUGGAAAUGUCAGCCGUGAGCGCCAUAGACACAAGUGGAGUCACGCUUUUCAAGGAAUUGAAAGGAACACUGGAAAAGAAGGGUGUUGAGCUUGUAUUGGUGAAUCCUCUCGCUGAGGUCAUAGAAAAGCUGAAAAAAGCAAAUGAAGCUAAUGAUUUCAUACGAGCGGAUAACCUUUUCUUGACAGUUGGAGAGGCUGUAGCUUCACUUGCAUCAGGAAUGAAGAGUCAACCAUCAACCAGUACAGAAGGGGCACAUACAGUUGUGCCACAUUACUGAAAAUUUAGAUUACAGAAUAUACUUCAAAAGUAAAAAUUAAAGGAAGUAACAGCAGCAGCAGCAUCAUGUCUAGCAUAGAAUUCGGAUAAAAAAGUAUUGUAAUACCCGACCGUAUGAUUAAAAUGAAAUGCAACUUGCUUCUGCUUAGUAA